rnacentral:rRNA from 1 species
GUGGGGAAUUUUGGACAAUGGGCGCAAGCCUGAUCCAGCAAUGCCGCGUGUGUGAAGAAGGCCUUCGGGUUGUAAAGCACUUUUGGCAGGAAAGAAAUAGUGCGUGCUAAUACCAUGCGCGAAUGACGGUACCUGCAGAAUAAGCACCGGCUAACUACGUGCCAGCAGCCGCGGUAAGACGUAGGGUGCAAGCGUUAAUCGGAAUUACUGGGCGUAAAGCGUGCGCAGGCGGUUUUGUAAGACAGGUGUGAAAUCCCCGGGCUCAACCUGGGAACUGCACUUGUGACUGCAAGGCUAGAGUGUGUCAGAGGGAGGUGGAAUUCCGCGUGUAGCAGUGAAAUGCGUAGAGAUGCGGAGGAACACCGAUGGCGAAGGCAGCCUCCUGGGAUAACACUGACGCUCAGGCACGAAAGCGUGGGGAGCAAACAGGAUUAGAUACCCUUGUAGUCC